UGGUCUUGACAUCAUCAUGUUGUCUCUGCGUGUGGCUGAACUGGUCCUCAUCACUCUGCUCACUGUUCUUCUCUUCAGAGCUCGAGGGAACCAGAGACCUCCUGAUGAUAUCACUGUGCGUUAUGAUGGAGAUGACGACACAGUGAACUAUGAGAACGCUGGAGAGCCUUCUGCUUCAGUCAGACUCCACUGAUCAACAUCUUCCACGCCUUCAAUUUACCAGACCAAUGAGUCCACUGCUCUUAAACUCUGUUACAGCUUUUUACUGCACAUACAAACACAAACCCUGAUUUCAGUUUGAGCUUUGAGGCGAGGACUUCAGUGAUGUACUGAUUUAAAAGAAGGUGAUAUUGAACUCAGCAGCCAGAGGUUUGAGCCUUGAUUUGAUCUGAAUGUGAGAGUACAAUUAAACAUGAUUUAUCUUUAACUUCAUCAUGAGGGAGAAUAUUUAGUUCCUGACACGUUUAGUAAAAAACUUCAGAUCACAUUUAUUUAGAAAGAAGACCUGCAGAUUUAUUUUUGAAUGUCUGUUUCACUUUAAAUAUCUUUAAAUGAUCUCAUGUUAAUCACUGUGUGCUUAGCGACUCUAAUGAAUGAACUUUAAGUUGACAUUGUUGUUGAUAUAUUUCAUUGGA